GUCAGUGUGCGAGCGAGUGUGUGUGCGUGCGUGUGCGGGGAGCGCGGGCGGCGAGAGCGCGAGGGCGUGCGGAAACUUCGGCGGCGGGAGCGGCGCCCGGGCCGCCUUCCUCACCGCUCUCCGGCCCUCUCGGCUGCCUUUCACCGAUUCGCGUCAAAGUCACUGGGAAAGGGCUCUUGCGCAAGCUUUGAACUGACUUUACUAUCCGAAGAAGAAUGUCAGGCCAGCUCUUGUGUUCAGGAGGGCAGGUGGGGGAAUUCAAGGCAGUGUGAAGGAAGAGCCCAGCUGCCAGGACGCACUCAAAUGGCAGGAGAGGAGCACUCUGAAACGUGGUGUCUGACAUGGAAGUGUGGAUGGAGCAGAGGUGUGGAAUUGGAUUCCUCCAUGAAGAAAAAAAAUGCACUCAUCAGUGCUUGCUGAACGUUUAUGGAGAGCAAACAGUGGAUGUGAGCACAGUGAGGCAGUGGGUGGUGUGUUUCAGCAGUGGUGACAACAACACUGGGUCACCUCCACUGGUGCAGUGGCAGCGACAUGGAAGGAGCGGGCAAGCUGUAGGCAGCUCGUUACCUUGAGUCAGCCCCUGACCUUUCCAUGGCCCGUGAAUCCUCCGAGCUCUAUGGAGAAACAGCACUAUCUGGUGGAGGGAGUGUGUAAAGUCCUGUCAGCCACGGGCUGGGCUCAUUUGUUAGAGCUACAGUUGCAACUGCUCUAGCUGUGUUCUUGCCCAAAGUUGAUAGUUUCGCCGUGGUUUCCAGAGAUUAUUUUUUUUUCUUUUAACAGUGCGAAUGGCAAGUGAGUAUAUCCAGCUAAGUCUUUGUAAAACUGAUGCUUUCAUCAGUUUCUAUUGCUUACCUGAAGAAUUUUUUCACCCUCUGAGGAAUGUUGGUAUGUUUUCUGGAUUUUUCUAAGCACAGCAAUAUGAAAGAAAGAGAGAAAAAAAUGUUUAGGUUUAAUUUUAAAAGAAAUGUUCUUUAUUGAAGUUAUAUAAAGCAGAUGCAAGUGGAAUAAAAUCAAACUUGUGUGUAAGGAGAAAUUUUCAGAAACAUUUCAUGUCAAAAAAUGAAAUAAAACCCAGAACCCAGGUUAUGAAGUUGUGAAACUUUGGCUCUGAAUUGACUUCUGGAUGUAAACGCAUUCAUAGAACCACAGGAUAUCCCGAGUUGGAAGGGACCCGUGAGAAUCAUUGAGUCCAACUCCUGGAUCAACACAGGAGCACCUAAAAAUCAGACCCUAUGUCUGAAAAGCAUAAUCUAUGUAAAAGCAUGUAUGAAAAGCACCACGUUGGUGAAGAUGUUGGCUAGUAUCAAUAUGUCCACUGAAUUCCACUGAAUUUAAUGGAUAUUCU
ensembl:lncRNA